UCACCUUUAGCACCCGGCCCACUUCUUUUUCCUCCCGCUCGCACCGCCCCCGCUCUGUCAGCAGCCCCAACUUACUCGACAGCAGUUGACGGCUGCCUGUGUCGCUCAUUGGUCCUCGUUCGUGUCGAUUGGAUACGCGGCCCGUCAGUCUCCAGGAGCGGGUGGGUGGGAGCUUCCGUGGCUGUGAGGGGCGAGCCGGUGGCGCGGUGAGGCCGGGGCUUUGCUUUGCUGGGGCAAGUUUUCUCUUGAUGGGCGACUCCGGCUAGGCAGGACGGCGGAUUACCGGCAGCUCGGAUGGAGUCGUGACCAGUGAUUGGAGCUCCUGGCAUGGAACUGAACUGGGUUGACUUGUGGGAACUGUAAGGUUGCCAUCACGAAAGCCAAAGUGGAUUUCUCCAGUGUACUGUGCCUGCCCCCUUCCGUCAUUGCUGGAAAUGGGCUGGACGGAGGAGGGGCUGGCGAGAAUGAAGACGAGACGGUGUUGGGGUCUCUUUCGGCGGC